GCUCAACCGGGGAGGGUCAUUGGAAACUGGGGAACUUGAGCGCAGAAGAGGAGAGUGGAAUUCCACGUGUAGCGGUGAAAUGCGUAGAGAUGUGGAGGAACACCAGUGGCGAAGGCGACUCUCUGGUCUGUAACUGACGCUGAGGCGCGAAAGCGUGGGGAGCGAACAGGAUUAGAUACCCUGGUAGUCCACGCCGUAAACGAUGAGUGCUAAGUGUUAGAGGGUUUCCGCCCUUUAGUGCUGCGGCAAACGCAUUAAGCACUCCGCCUGGGGAGUACGGUCGCAAGACUGAAACUCAAAGGAAUUGACGGGGGCCCGCACAAGCGGUGGAGCAUGUGGUUUAAUUCGAAGCAACGCGAAGAACCUUACCAGGUCUUGACAUCCUCUGACAACCCUAGAGAUAGGGCUUCCCCUUCGGGGGCAGAGUGACAGGUGGUGCAUGGUUGUCGUCAGCUCGUGUCGUGAGAUGUUGGGUUAAGUCCCGCAACGAGCGCAACCCUUGAUCUUAGUUGCCAGCAUUCAGUUGGGCACUCUAAGGUGACUGCCGGUGACAAACCGGAGGAAGGUGGGGAUGACGUCAAAUCAUCAUGCCCCUUAUGACCUGCGCUACACACGUGCUACAAUGGGCAGAACAAAG
rnacentral:rRNA from 1 species